UACGGGGGGGGGCAAGCGUUGUUCGGAAUUACUGGGCGUAAAGGGCUCGUAGGCGGCCAACUAAGUCAGACGUGAAAUCCCUCGGCUUAACCGGGGAACUGCGUCUGAUACUGGAUGGCUAGAGGUUGGGAGAGGGAUGCGGAAUUCCAGGUGUAGCGGUGAAAUGCGUAGAGAUCUGGAGGAACACCGAUGGCGAAGGCAGCCCCCCUGGGCUAACACUGACGCUCAUGCACGAAAGCGUGGGGAGCAAACAGG
rnacentral:rRNA from 1 species